rfam:Mus musculus chromosome X, GRC primary reference assembly.
GGAGAGACAGCUCAGCAGUUAAGAGCACUGGCUACUCUUCCAGAGAACCUGGGUUCAAUUCCCAGCUUCUACA